ensembl:lncRNA
GAAUAACUAUAUUCUUUCGAGGAACAGCAACCACCGUUCCAGAUAUGACUGGAUGGACAACUCCCAUCCCCCUGUCAAACGUCGUUAGUCACUGGCGCGUUUUUUUUAACCAGAAUUUACUCAUGCAGCUGAUUGAUUAAAUGGAGCAAUGCAUUGUCACCACUGCUGUAUUCUAAUAAAGUUGAUCCAGGUGACACCAUGUGGACAAUAAAGGACAAUGACCCAACACACUUCCAGGCUGUGUAAGGGCUAUUUGACCAAGAAAGAGAGUGAUGGAGUGCUGCAUCAGAUGACCUAGCCUCCACAAUCACUCGACCUUAACCCAAAUGAGAUGGUUUGGGAUGAGUUGGAGUGAAGUGAUGUGUUGGAGUGAAGGAAAAGCAGCCAACAAGUGCUCAGCAUAUGUGGAAACUCCUUCAAGACUUUUGGAAAGGCAUUCCAAGUGAAGCUGGUUGAGAGAAUGCUAAGAGUGUGCAAAGCUGUCA